AUGAACCCGGCCGCCGGUAUGUUCCCAAUGUUUCCACCGCCACCGCCGCCACCUUUCCACUACGCGUUCCCGAUGCAGCCCCCGCCGUACUUCUACCAUGCACCAAUGUCGCCGGUAUGGCCGUCGUCGCCGGUCCCUGUGCGCUCCGUGUGGGCGUCCAACUUCAAGUACGAAUCGGCCAACCUCCGCCACGUCGCCAGGAACGCCCAGUACGUCUCCAUCGCCGUGCACUACCCGGGCGUUGUCCACCACCCCAACCAGGACCACAACGCCCUCACCGCCGAGCAGCGCUACGCUCUCGUGAAGGCCAACGUGGACGACCUGAAGCCGCUCCAGCUCGGCAUCGCCCUCUACGACAGCGACGGCGGGUACCUCGCCGCCUGGGAGUUCAACCUCCGCGACUUCCGCCCCCAGGCCGACCCGCACGACGAGAACUCCCUCGCGUACCUCGCCGGCCGCGGCCUCGACGUCGGCGCGCUCCGCGACCACGGCGUCAGCGCCGACAUGCUACGCGCGAAGCUGUUUGAAUCCGGCCUGAUCAGCGCUCGGCCUCGGCAUGGGCGGUCGCGGAGUUGGAUCACCUACGCUGGGGCCUACCAUGUCGCAUACCUGUUCAAAAUUGUCACCGGCGGCGCCCCGCUGCCGCGAGACGUGGCCGGGUUCAACGGCGCCGUGCGGCGUUACCUCGGCGACCAGGUCUAUGAUGUCGCCAAGCUGGCGGCCGACUGCCCGGCCAUGCCGCUUGGGCUGGAGAGUGUCGCCGAUUACCUCGGCUUUCAUCCGCCGCUGGGGAGCCCUCGCCUCGCAGCUGCCGCCGGCGUGCGCGCGCUGCAGGUCUUCAUGCGGCUGAAGUACGUAGAGCUCGGCGGCGACGUAACAGGUACUGUAGAAGGAAGUACAGAGGGUUCAGCGCUGACGUGGAGAGGUACCGAGGUGUUAUUCAAGCCAUCCACUAUUGGUCGAUCUGACACCAACAAUGCUGAGUCGAUAAUUCGAAGUUCGUGCAAGGAAGACUGGUGCCGACUUGCAUCCUUUGGUAGCUCUGAUCAAGCUCUUGAAGUCUCAAGAAUUAGUCCCGAACCCUCCCGCGACCCCCGUGUCGCCUCCCCCAGCGGUGGCGGGGGAAACAUAGUCACGCCGCCGCGGCCCCCUCCCCACCUCGCCCCACCUCCUCGCCGCCAUCGGAGGAGCGGUCGGCGAAGUCGCGCUAACUCCCAGGAAGGUGACGGCGGGGCGGCUCGGCUGUCAUCUUCCCCUUUUUCCCGUCGACGUUCGCCGCACACCGACGCCGGCGUGUCUCCGCCCUGGCCCGCCCCUUCCUGUCAGGCUCUGGCUGCCCCUAGUCCUCGCUGA
rnacentral:rRNA from 1 species